rnacentral:rRNA from 1 species
CCCGCACAAGCGGUGGAGCAUGUGGUUAAUUCGAAGCAACGCGAAGAACCUUACCAGGCCUUGACAUGCUAGGGAACCCGGGUGAAAGCCUGGGGUGCCCCGCGAGGGGAGCCCUAGCACAGGUGCUGCAUGGCCGUCGUCAGCUCGUGCCGUGAGGUGUUGGGUUAAGUCCCGCAACGAGCGCAACCCCGCCGUUAGUUGCCAGCGGUUCGGCCGGGCACUCUAACGGGACUGCCCGCGAAAGCGGGAGGAAGGAGGGGACGACGUCUGGUCAGCAUGGCCCUUACGGCCUGGGCGACACACGUGCUACAAUGCCCACUACAAAGCGAGGCCACCCGGCAACGGGGAGCUAAUCGCAAAAAGGUGGGCCCAGUUCGGAUUGGGGUCUGCAACUCGACUCCAUGAAGUUGGAAUCGCUAGUAAUCGUGGAUCAGCAUGCCACGGUGAAUACGUUCCCGGGCCUU